GACGGGGCCCGCACAAGCGGUGGAGUAUGUGGUUUAAUUCGACGCAACGCGCAGAACCUUACCUAGACUUGACAUCCCGGGGAUUUUCUGGAAACAGAGAAGUGCUUUAGCAAUAAAGAACCCGGUGACAGGUGCUGCAUGGCUGUCGUCAGCUCGUGUCGUGAGAUGUUGGGUUAAGUCCCGCAACGAGCGCAACCCUCGCCUUUAGUUGCCAGCAUUCAGUUGGGCACUCUAGAGGGACUGCCGGUGUCAAACCGGAGGAAGGUGGGGAUGACGUCAAGUCCUCAUGGCCUUUAUGUCUAGGGCUACACACGUACUACAAUGGCCGGUACAAAGGGCAGCCACUCAGCGAUGAGGCGCUAAUCCCAUAAAGCCGGUCUCAGUCCGGAUCGCAGUCUGCAACUCGACUGCGUGAAGUCGGAAUCGCUAGUAAUCGUGGAUCAGAAUGUCACGGUGAAUACGUUCCCGGGUCUU
rnacentral:rRNA from 1 species